GAGGUGCUGUAAUGGAGAAAUGAAGACAGAAGGACAUCUUCGCUAAUGCCUGACCGCAGCCUCUGGACGUGGCGGUUGAGCUCAGAGAUCUCCUGUUUGGUGUUGCGGAGGUCGUCCCCGUGCCUGCCUGCGGUAGCCUGCAGCUCCUCGUACUGUCGUGGAGAGAGGAACAACCGGUCAAGACCGCAGCCUCUGGACGUGGCGGUUGAGCUCGGAGAUCUCCUGCUUGGUGUUGCGGAGGUCGUCCCCGU